GAUGAAGAACGUAGCGAAAUGCGAUAAGUAAUGUGAAUUGCAGAAUCCAGUGAAUCAUCGAAUCUUUGAACGCACAUUGCGCCCGCCAGCAUUCUGGCGGGCAUGCCUGUUCGAGCGUCAUUUCAACCCUCGACCUCCCUUUGGGGAAGUUGGCGUUGGGGACCGGCAGCACACCGCCGGCCCUGAAAUGGAGUGGCGGCCCGUCCGCGGCGACCUCUGCGUAGUAAUCCAACUCGCACCGGAACCCCGACGCGGCCACGCCGUAAAACACCCAACUUCUGAACGUUGACCUCGAAUCAGGUAGGACUACCCGCUGAACUUAAGCAUAUCAAUAAGCGGAGGA
rnacentral:misc_RNA from 1 species